rnacentral:rRNA from 1 species
UGAGUAAUGCCUAGGAAAUUGCCUUGAUGUGGNGGAUAACCAUUGGAAACGAUGGCUAAUACCGCAUAANGCCUACGGGCCAAAGAGGGGGACCUUCGGGCCUCUCGCGUCAAGAUAUGCCUAGGUGGGAUUAGCUAGUUGGUGAGGUAAUGGCUCACCAAGGCGACGAUCCCUAGCUGGUCUGAGAGGAUGAUCAGCCACACUGGAACUGAGACACGGUCCAGACUCCUACGGGAGGCAGCAGUGGGGAAUAUUGCACAAUGGGCGAAAGCCUGAUGCAGCCAUGCCGCGUGUAUGAAGAAGGCCUUCGGGUUGUAAAGUACUUUCAGUUGUGAGGAAGGGGGUAGUGUUAAUAGCGCUAUCUCUUGACGUUAGCAACAGAAGAAGCACCGGCUAACUCCGUGCCAGCAGCCGCGGUAAUACGGAGGGUGCGAGCGUUAAUCGGAAUUACUGGGCGUAAAGCGCAUGCAGGUGGUUCAUUAAGUCAGAUGUGAAAGCCCGGGGCUCAACCUCGGAACUGCAUUUGAAACUGGUGAACUAGAGUACUGUAGAGGGGGGUAGAANUUCNGGUGUANCGGUGNAAAUGCGUAGAGAUCUGAAGGAAUANCNGUGGCGAAGGCGNNCCCCUGGAACNGAUACUGACACUCAGAUGCGAAAGCGNGGGNAGC